UCCAGGGUUCACUGUUGUGUACUUGGGAAGAGGAAGAAGAAGAGUUCUUCGAUCACUGUGUUCAUAUGCACAGAAGGCACCAGUGUCAACUGAGGGCAAGAAGAAGACUGCAAGAGAGUACAACCAAUUGUUCCUCAACACUGUCACAAUAUUACUUUACAUGCGCACAUGUGAGUGAGAGACUGGGUUAGGUGUUUGCCAUUACAUUUUCAGAAAAUGAAGAAAUCAGUAGUAGACAAACUUUCCUCCAGGGUUGCUUUACGUAGCCUGAUAAUAAGACUGAAUUGCCAUUUUGUUUCACUUCAUUGAUCCAACCUGACAUCAUCUUCAUGUUUGUCAGGUUCUUGCUGGGAAGGAAAAGCUGUUUUGUUUUGCCCUAAACCAAUCACUAGCAAGUGACAUAUACGUACCGUCGGAGUCAUGUUUAGUCAACACAAAAGCUGUUUUUUAGUUAUAUUUACAUCGAUCAAAGAUAUCUUUAGAGUUUUUUUCAUUAUUAGCUUUGAAAUUCAAUAUAUAAGGUGUCUUAAUUGAGUGUUGGGACAUAUGAAAAUCAGACCAGACCAUGAUUCAUUUCAUUAAGUGUGCUGGUUGUGAUGCUGUCAGUCUAACCACAACCAGCGCAACAAGGUUAACAGAAUGCAGUAUAACUCUUUUAUCUCACGUUAAGUACCUUUCUUACUCUCAAAAACUUCAGCCGUAUAGAACAUUGAAAUCAAGUAAAGGAUGUGAAACAUU